rnacentral:tRNA from 1 species
AAAGGAGAUUAGUGUUAGUAUACACAUAAGGUUUAUAACUUUAAUUAGUUGAGUAACAACACUCCUUUAC